UAAGGACCUUAUCCGUAGAGAC
rnacentral:miRNA from 1 species